rnacentral:rRNA from 1 species
AUGAACGCUGGCGGCGUGCCUAAUACAUGCAAGGCGAGCGAACAGACGAGGAGCUUGCUCCUCUGACGUUAGCGGCGGACGGGUGAGUAACACGUGGAUAACCUACCUAUAAGACUGGGAUAACUUCGGGAAACCGGAGCUAAUACCGGAUAAUAUAUUGAACCGCAUGGUUCAAUAGUGAAAGACGGUUUUGCUGUCACUUAUAGAUGGAUCCGCGCCGCAUUAGCUAGUUGGUAAGGUAACGGCUUACCAAGGCAACGAUGCGUAGCCGACCUGAGAGGGUGAUCGGCCACACUGGAACUGAGACACGGUCCAGACUCCUACGGGAGGCAGCAGUAGGGAAUCUUCCGCAAUGGGCGAAAGCCUGACGGAGCAACGCCGCGUGAGUGAUGAAGGUCUUCGGAUCGUAAAACUCUGUUAUUAGGGAAGAACAAAUGUGUAAUUAACUAUGCACGUCUUGACGGUACCUAAUCAGAAAGCCACGGCUAACUACGUG